AACGAACGCUGGCGGCAUGCCUAACACAUGCAAGUCGAACGAAGGCUUCGGCCUUAGUGGCGCACGGGUGCGUAACGCGUGGGAAUCUGCCUCUCGGGUCGGAAUAACAGUUAGAAAUGACUGAUAAUACCGGAUGAUGACUUCGGUUCAAAGAUUUAUCGCCGAGGGAUGAGCCCGCGUAAGAUUAGGUAGUUGGUGGGGUAAAGGCAUACCAAGCCGACGAUCUUUAGCUGGUCUGAGAGGAUGAUCAGCCACACUGGGCCUGAGACACGGGCAAGACUCCUACGGGAGGCAGCAGUGGGGAAUAUUGGACAAAGGGCGAAAGCCUGAUCCAGCAAUGCCGCGUGAGUGAUGAAGGCCUUAGGGUUGUAAAGCUCUUUUACCAGGGAUGAUAAUGACAGUACCUGGAGAAUGAGCUCCGGCUAACUCCGUGCCAGCAGCCGCGGUAA
rnacentral:rRNA from 1 species